UUCCUGAAUCCUGAGAGUGCGUUUUCUUGUCCUGUUUUUGAUAUUCCCAGUAUUUUGACCUUGGCUAUUCCUGACUAUUCUGAUUCCUGGCUUCUCUGACUUGGCUUGUUAAAUGGUAUUGUAUAUUUCUGGCUCCCUUGACCAUUUUCUUUGUUUUUAAUGUAUUAGUCCGGCCAUUCUAAGGACCGGUUUACGUUUUAUCAUUUUCUGUUCUGUCUAUGUAGAUGUUACAUAGUUCUGCGUGCUGGACCACACUAGCAGUCAUGACAAGAAUCUAAUCGACCAUAGACACUAAAACAGUCAUACCUCUCAAGCGUCAAGUAUCUAAUUGAGAUGGUGUUGGAGGGAAACUCAAAGGAUGCAGCUUUAAGAAAACACAUACUCUAUGCUAAUCUCUCUCUAAUUUAUGCUUUAAUCUUUCAAGUAAAUCCAUACCCCCUAACAGCAGUGUCCAGUGAAGCAGGAAGUCAAUGGGGACACUGGGAGAAAUGGGGACACAGACACUAGGGACACAGACACUGGAAGACAUGGGGACACUAAGACACUAGGGACACUGAGAGACAUGGGGAUACUGGGACACUGGCUUGGAGGCAUGGAGACAUAGGCAUGGAGACACUUGGGGACACUGGGAGACAUGGGGACAUUUGGGGACACUAGGGACACUGAGAGACAUGGGACACAGACACUGGGAAACAUGGGGACAUUUGGGGACACUGGCUGGGAGACAUGGGGACACUGAGACACUAGGGGGACUGGCUGGGAGACAUGUGGACACUGGUUGACAUGGGGACACAGA